UCCAUAUCUAUAUCUGCAUCUGUAUCUGUAUCUAUAUCUGUAUCUGUAUCUGUAUCUAUAUCUGCAUCUGUAUCUAUAUCUGUAUCUAUAUGUGUAUCUGUAUCUGUAUCUGUAUCUGUAUCUAUAUCUGUAUCUAUAUCUGUAUCUGUAUCUGUAUCUGUAUCUAUAUCUGUAUCUGUAUCUGUAUCUGUAUCUAUAUCUGUAUCUGUAUCUGUAUCUAUAUCUGUAUCUGUAGCUAUAUCUGUAUCUGUAUCUAUAUCUAUAUCUGCAUCUGUAUCUAUAUCUGCAUCUGUAUCUGUAUCUAUAUAUCUGUAUCUGUAUCUGUAUCUAUAUCUGUAUCUGUAUCUGUAUCUGUAUCUAUAUCUAUAUCUGUAUCUGCAUCUAUAUCUAUAUCUGCAUCUGCAUCUGUAUCUGUAUCUAUAUAUCUGUAUCUGUAUCUGUAUCUAUAUCUAUAUCUGCAUCUGCAUCUGUAUCUGUAUCUAUAUCUGUAUCUGUAUCUGUAUCUGUAUCUAUAUCUGUAUCUAUAUCUGUAUCUGUAUCUGUAUCUGUAUCUAUAUCUGUAUCUGUAUCUGUAUCUAUAUCUGUAUCUGUAUCUAUAUCUGUAUCUGUAUCUAUAUCUAUAUCUGCAUCUGUAUCUAUAUCUGCAUCUGUAUCUGUAUCUAUAUAUCUGUAUCUGUAUCUGUAUCUAUAUCUGUAUCUGUAUCUGUAUCUGUAUCUAUAUCUAUAUCUGUAUCUGCAUCUAUAUCUAUAUCUGCAUCUGUAUCUGUAUCUAUAUAUCUGUAUCUGUAUCUGUAUCUGUAUCUAUAUCUGUAUCUGUAUCUGUAUCUGUAUCUGUAUCUAUAUCUAUAUCUGUAUCUGCAUCUAUAUCUAUAUCUGCAUCUGCAUCUGUAUCUGUAUCUAUAUAGCGGUAUCUGUAUCUGUAUCUAUAUCUAUAUCUGCAUCUGCAUCUGUAUCUGUAUCUAUAUCUGUAUCUGUAUCUGUAUCUAUAUCUGUAUCUAUAUCUGUAUCUGUAUCUGUAUCUGUAUCUAUAUCUGUAUCUGUAUCUAUAUCUGUAUCUGUAUCUAUAUCUAUAUCUGCAUCUGUAUCUAUAUCUGCAUCUGUAUCUGUAUCUAUAUAUCUGUAUCUGUAUCUGUAUCUGUAUCUGUAUCUGUAUCUAUAUCUGUAUCUAUAUCUAUAUCUGUAUCUGCAUCUAUAUCUAUAUCUGCAUCUGUAUCUAUAUCUGCAUCUGUAUCUGUAUCUAUAUCUGUAUCUGUAUCUGUAUCUGUAUCUAUAUCUGUAUCUAUAUCUGUAUCUGUAUCUGUAUCUGUAUCUAUAUCUGUAUCUGUAUCUAUAUCUGUAUCUGUAUCUAUAUCUAUAUCUGCAUCUGUAUCUAUAUCUGCAUCUGUAUCUGUAUCUAUAUAUCUGUAUCUGUAUCUGUAUCUGUAUCUGUAUCUGUAUCUGUAUCUAUAUCUAUAUCUGUAUCUGCAUCUAUAUCUAUAUCUGCAUCUGUAUCUAUAUCUGCAUCUGUAUCUGUAUCUAUAUCUAUAUCUGUAUCUGUAUCUGUAUCUAUAUCUGUAUCUGUAUAUAUAUCUGUCUCUGUAUCUGUAUCUAUAUCUGUAUCUGUAUCUAUAUCUUUAUCUGUAUCUAUAUCUAUAUCUGUAUCUGUAUCUGUAUCUGUAUCUAUAUCUGUAUCUGUAUAUAUAUCUGUAUCUGUAUCUGUAUCUAUAUCUGUAUCUGUAUCUAUAUCUUUAUCUGUAUCUGUAUCUAUAUCUGCAUCUGUAUCUGUAUCUGUAUCUAUAUCUGUAUCUAUAUCUGUAUAUAUAUCUGUAUCUGUAUCUAUAUCUGCAUCUGCAUCUGUAUCUGUAUCUAUAUCUGUAUCUGUAUCUGUAUCUAUAUCUGUAUCUGCAUCUGCAUCUGUAUCUGUAUCUGUAUCUGUAUCUGUAUCUGCAUCUGCAUCUGUAUCUGUAUCUAUAUCUAUAUCUGUAUCUGUAUCUGUAUCUGUAUCCAUGUCUAGAUCUAUACCCGUAUCUGUAUCUGUAUAUUUAUAUAUCAUCUAUAUCUUACAUAUCCAUAGCUAUAUCUACAUCCACAUCGAUAUCUAUAUCUACGUCUACAUCCACUUCUAUGUCUCUGUCUCUCUGA
rnacentral:lncRNA from 1 species